UACGGGGGGGGUAAGCGUUGUUCGGAAUUACUGGGCGUAAAGGGCUCGUAGGCGGCCAACUAAGUCGGACGUGAAAUCCCUCAGCUUAACUGGGGAACUGCGUCCGAUACUGGAUGGCUUGGAUUCGGGAGAGGGAUGCGGAAUUCCAGGUGUAGCGGUGAAAUGCGUAGAUAUCUGGAGGAACACCGGUGGCGAAGGCGGCAUCCUGGACCGAUAUUGACGCUGAGGAGCGAAAGCCAGGUGAGCAAACGGG
rnacentral:rRNA from 1 species